AAUAUGGGACAAUGGGCGAAAGCCUGAUCCAGCCAUGCCGCGUGUGUGAAGAAGGUCNNNGGAUUNUCAAGCACUCUACCUCCNGCGNAAGGGCAGUCAGUUAAUACCUUGCUGUUUUUACGUUACCAACAGAAUAAGCACCGGCUAACUUCGUGCCAGCAGCCGCGGUAAUACGAAGGCUGCAAGCGUUAAUCGGAAUUACUGGGCGUAAAGCGCGCGUAGGUGGUUCAGUAAGAUGGAAGUGAAAGCCCCGGGCUUAACCUGGGAACUGCUUUCAAAACUGGCAAGCUAGAGUAUGGCAGAGGGUGGUGGAAUUUCCUGUGUAGCGGUGAAAUGCGUAGAUAUAGGAAGGAACACCAGUGGCGAAGGCGACCACCUGGGCUAAUACUGACACUGAGGUGCGAAAGCGUGGGGAGCAAACAGU
rnacentral:rRNA from 1 species